CCUCCUCGUGACACUUAAGCACCAAUCCACCUUCCCGACGAAUUAACGUUUGGAAAAUCACCAUAUUCUUACUCUCUUCGGACCUAGAAACCUGAAUCAAAUUUUGGUUUCUCGGAAUAUUGUGCACGGAUGCCAUUUCAAGAACCUUCAUUGGAGCCGUGGGUUUCCCUUCAGUUUCAGAAAAUUUCCAGCCAUCUUUUGAACUCUAAAUAGUUUCCGGCGACCUCUGCCACUCUCGAGUCAUUUUCCAGUAAAAUCACGGCGAGAUAGUCAUUUCCAAGGUUCCUUUUACCGAGGCAGUGGACGAUUAGAUUUCGUUGAGUAUUGACAAAGUUAUGGACGCUGAAAGGUUGCCCAGAAAUUCUGGCGAAUUUACCUAUUUUCCAGUAGACAGCUGUCUUUCGGGCCAUUUCUACCAUUUGGACUCCAAUUAGGCGCCGAUCGUUCGUGACGCCUCAAUGUUUAUGCUAAGGAGUUGUAGCGCGAACUUCAUGUUUUAGCUACUGAAAAUUUCGUGUCGACGAGGAUUCUUAGCGAAUCUCAGUAUAGGUGGCUACCUCUGAGGAUGUCGGCCAACACAGCUCGAUUCGGAGUCCUAGUGGACAUUCCGGGUCGGGGUAUGUUUAUUUGGUAUCAAAGCCAAUCUCUGGCCAGAAGUGUGUCUACGAGGACGUCGGGCCCCUAAGGUGGGUGGAUUGUGAGAUCCCACGCCUAGGGGAGUAGAUCAUGAACUUUGAAGUUAAGCGAGAAAAUGGCCAGAGUAUUCCCAGGAUGAGUGACCCACUAGGAAG